rnacentral:rRNA from 1 species
AUAUCAGUCAUGCAUAGUAUAUCAAUAAGCGGAGGAAAAGAAACUAACAAGGAUUCCCUUAGUAACGGCGAAUGAAGCGGGAAGAGCUCAAAUUUGAAAUCUUCAAGGUUCUACCUUGACGAAUUGUAGUUUAUAGAAGUGUUUUCUGUUAGUAGAGUGGCAAAAGUUCUUUGGAAUAGGACAUCAUAGAGGGUGAGAAUCCCGUAUUUGGUCAUUCUUUCUAGCUUUGUGAUACACUUUCAACGAGUCGGAUUGUUUGGGAAUGCAGUCCAAAAUGGGUGGUAAAUUUCAUCUAAAGCUAAAUAUUGGCGAGAGACCGAUAGCGAACAAGUACCGUGAGGGAAAGAUGAAAAGAACUUUGAAAAGAGAGUUAAACAGUACGUGAAAUUGUCAAAAGGGAAGCGUUUGACACCAGUGUUGUUUAGUUGAAAAUCAAUUCAAUAAUUUUUGAUUUUGAGUAGUAUUGACUUCAUCAGCUUGCUGCUUUCUUUUCGGAAAUUAUUGAAUGCACUUUUCAGUUAACAAGUCAACAUCAAUUUCUUUUGUUGUAAAAGGGUCAGAUGGAAGGUGGCUUACGCUUUCGGAGAAAGUGUUUAUAGCCUUUUACUUCUGCAAUCGGAGAGAUUGAGGUCUGCAGCGUAGAUCCUUCGGGGUUAGAUACAUUUGUGCUAAGCUAUAGCCUUGUAUAGACAACUUGUUGACUAUGCUCAGUCAUGUAGCUUACUCGCUUAUGCUAUUUUACCUACGCUUAGGAUGUUGAUGUGAUACUGCGAGCA